AUUGAACGCUGGCGGAAUGCUUUACACAUGCAAGUCGAACGGCAGCACGGGUGCUUGCACCUGGUGGCGAGUGGCGAACGGGUGAGUAAUGCACCGGAACGUAUCCAAUAAUGGGGAAUAACGCACCGAGAGGUGUGCUAAUACCGCAUACGCCCUGAGGGGGAAAGCGGGGGAUCGUAAGACCUCGCGUUAAUGGAGCGGCCGAUGCCGGAUUAGCUAGUUGGUGAGGUAAAGGCUCACCAAGGCGACGAUCCGUAGCUGGUCCGAGAGGACGACCAGCCACACUGGGACUGAGACACGGCCCAGACUCCUACGGGAGGCAGCAGUGGGGAAUAUUGGACAAUGGGGGGCGAAACCCCUGAAUCCAGCGACGCCGCGUGUGUGAAGAAGGCCUGCGGGUUGUAAAGCACUUUAGUGGGAGGAAAUGCUCAGACCUAACACGUCUGGGAGCUGACUUAA
rnacentral:rRNA from 1 species